rnacentral:rRNA from 1 species
CUUCCGCCGGCGACCGGCGCACGGGUGAGUAACACGUAUGCAACCUGCCCCUGUCAGGGGGACAACCCGCCGAAAGGCGGGCUAAACCCGCGUACAUGCCACCGGGGCAUCCCGGAGGCAGGAAAGGCUUCGGCCGGACAGGGAUGGGCAUGCGGCGCAUUAGGCAGUAGGCGGGGUAACGGCCCACCUAACCGACGAUGCGUAGGGGUUCUGAGAGGAAGGUCCCCCACACUGGUACUGAGACACGGACCAGGCUCCUACGGGAGGCAGCAG